GCUAAAGUUCCCUUAAAUUGAGGGGUUUUUGCAAAGUCUUGCCUCUAUAUUUUAUUCCAUAUGGGAUAGGAACAAUUUUGACAAAAUUCCAUUGUUGGUCACCAUGGACAUCCAUGUUGAUCUCUCUGAAAUUCUUGUGGAGGAGAAGCCAAAAUUAAUCAUACAGUUUAACUAUUAAAUUUAAUACAGAAAAUGAAAAUACCAAGUAAAAAUAGAAACAAUUCACACUAAAAUUAACUCAACGAUUUAUAGAGGCAGGGUAUCAGUUAUAUUACUCAAUAUCAACAGUGCAAUCUUGAAUCAAUAUUGAUUUUGCAGAUAUAACUUUGCAGAUUUUAAUUUUUAGAUAACUUCAAAGGGAAGAUAAACUCCACACCCAAGCAAGUGGAAGCUCUUUAUUACAUUGGGGCAAAUAUAGCAAAGAUUUCUAAGGAAUAAGGAAAAGAGCAUUUAUUAUUGCUAGAGAUGGCAGCAAAAAACAACGCCUAUGUUGGGAGAAAGAUUGAGAAGAUGGAGGUGCGGACAAGAGGCAGAGAAAGUAAGGAAAAAGAGAAGAAGAAGAUCUUGGCUUCCAAGAGGAGAAGGUUUAGAGCAGAGGAGGAUGUUUUCAUGAUUCUUGUAGGUGAUUUUUGAGUUUUUAAAUUAGAUUUGCUGGAGUUGAUUUAGUAUUGUAAUUUGCUGCAGAAGUUGAAUGAAAUAUUGUUAUAUAGUU